UACGUAAGUGGCAAGCGUUGUCCGGAAUUAUUGGGCGUAAAGCGCGCGCAGGCGGUUCUUUAAGUCUGAUGUGAAAGCCCACGGCUCAACCGUGGAGGGUCAUUGGAAACUGGAGAACUUGAGUACAGAAGAGGAAAGCGGAAUUCCACGUGUAGCGGUGAAAUGCGUAGAGAUGUGGAGGAACACCAGUGGCGAAGGCGGCUUUCUGGUCUGUAACUGACGCUGAGGCGCGAAAGCGUGGGGAGCAAACAGG
rnacentral:rRNA from 1 species